AUGAACGCUAGCGACAGGCUUAACACAUGCAAGUCGAGGGGCAGCACAGGUAGCAAUACCGGGUGGCGACCGGCGCACGGGUGAGUAACGCGUAUGCAACUUACCUAUCAGAGGGGGAUAACCCGGCGAAAGUCGGACUAAUACCGCAUGAAGCAGGGGCCCCGCAUGGGGAUAUUUGCUAAAGAUUCAUCGCUGAUAGAUAGGCAUGCGUUCCAUUAGGCAGUUGGCGGGGUAACGGCCCACCAAACCGACGAUGGAUAGGGGUUCUGAGAGGAAGGUCCCCCACAUUGGUACUGAGACACGGACCAAACUCCUACGGGAGGCAGCAGUGAGGAAUAUUGGUCAAUGGGCGUAAGCCUGAACCAGCCAAGUCGCGUGAGGGAUGAAGGUUCUAUGGAUCGUAAACCUCUUUUAUAAGGGAAUAAAGUGCGGGACGUGUCCCGUUUUGUAUGUACCUUAUGAAUAAGGAUCGGCUAACUCCGUGCCAGCAGCCGCGGUAAUACGGAGGAUCCGAGCGUUAUCCGGAUUUAUUGGGUUUAAAGGGUGCGUAGGCGGCCUUUUAAGUCAGCGGUGAAAGUCUGUGGCUCAACCAUAGAAUUGCCGUUGAAACUGGGAGGCUUGAGUAUGUUUGAGGCAGGCGGAAUGCGUGGUGUAGCGGUGAAAUGCUUAGAUAUCACGCAGAACCCCGAUUGCGAAGGCAGCCUGCCAAGCCAUGACUGACGCUGAUGCACGAAAGCGUGGGGAUCAAACAGGAUUAGAUACCCUGGUAGUCCACGCAGUAAACGAUGAUCACUAGCUGUUUGCGAUACAGUGUAAGCGGCACAGCGAAAGCGUUAAGUGAUCCACCUGGGGAGUACGCCGGCAACGGUGAAACUCAAAGGAAUUGACGGGGGCCCGCACAAGCGGAGGAACAUGUGGUUUAAUUCGAUGAUACGCGAGGAACCUUACCCGGGUUUGAACGCAUUCGGACCGAGGUGGAAACACCUCUUCUAGCAAUAGCCGUUUGCGAGGUGCUGCAUGGUUGUCGUCAGCUCGUGCCGUGAGGUGUCGGCUUAAGUGCCAUAACGAGCGCAACCCUUAUCGAUAGUUACCAUCAGGUGAUGCUGGGGACUCUGUCGAGACUGCCGUCGUAAGAUGUGAGGAAGGUGGGGAUGACGUCAAAUCAUCAUGCCCUUUAUGACUUGGGCUACACACGUACUACAAUGGCGUUAAACAAAGAGAAGCAAGACCGCGAGGUGGAGCAAAACUCAAAAACAACGUCUCAGUUCAGAUUGCAGGCUGCAACUCGCCUGCAUGAAGUCGGAAUUGCUAGUAAUCGCAGAUCAGCAUGCUGCGGUGAAUACGUUCCCGGGCCUUGUACACACCGCCCGUCACACCAUGAGAGUUGGGAAUACCCGAAGCCUGUAAGCUAACGCAAGAGGCAGCAGUCGAAGGUAGAAUCAAUGAUUGGGGUG
rnacentral:rRNA from 1 species